CAUCCAAUCCAACAAGUAGAAAUUAAAUUCCUACUUAGAAAAUGUAGAAUAGAAUGUAAAAUUGGUCGUGCAUAUAGUUAAAACUGCUAUACAGAAGUAAUUAUACGUAACCAAAUUAUGGAUGUCACCGGACCGGUUUCGGAGCGGGUUUUCAAGAACCCAAAUCCGAAAUCCGAAAGCCAAACCCUACGCAGAAGAAUUUUGACUAUUCAUAUCCAAAAUCGAAUUCGACCAAAAAUUCGAAAUCCGACCAGAAAAUUCCGAACCCGAAAUAAAUAUUUAUUUUUAUUAUAUUUCAAUGCAUACAGUUUUAAGAUCUAUAAAUCAAUUCGGGUUUGGAUUUGAAUUGGAUACAGAUAAAAUUCAUACUCGAAUUUAAAUUCAUGUGAUUUUAAUUUUUUUAU
rnacentral:lncRNA from 1 species